ACGGCUCAGUAACACGUGGCUAAUCUGCCCUUAGGACGAGAACAACCCCGGGAAACUGGGGCUAAUUCUUGAUAGGUGAAGAACUCUGGAAUGAGUCUUUGCUUAAAUGGAUUCACGUUAUCCUCGUGAGUUUGCCUAAGGAUGAGGCCGCGACCGAUCAGGUUGUUGGCGAGGUAAUGGCUCACCAAGCCUUUUACCGGUGCGGGCCGUGGGAGCGGGAGCCCGGAGAUGGGUACUGAGACAAGGACCCAGGCCCUACGGGGCGCAGCAGUCGCGAAACCUUUGCAAUACACGAAAGUGUGACAGGGCUAUCCCGAGUGCCAUCCGCUGAGGAAGGCUUUUACCCAGUCUAGAACGCUGGGGGAAUAAGGAGAGGGCAAGUCUGGUGUCAGCCGCCGCGGUAAUACCAGCUCUCCGAGUGGUGUGGAUGUUUAUUGGGCCUAAAGCAUCCGUAGCUGGCUAGGUAAGUCCUUUGUUAAAUCCACCGAAUUAAUCGUUGGAUCGCGGGGGAUACUGCUUGGCUAGGGGACGAGAGAGGCAGACGGUAUUUUCGGGGUAGGGGUGAAAUCCUAUAAUCCCGGGAAGACCACCAGUGGCGAAGGCUGUCUGCUAGAACGCGCCCGACGGUGAGGGAUGAAAGCUGGGGGAGCGAACCGGAUUAGAUACCCGGGUAGUCCCAGCUGUAAACGAUGCAGACUAGGUGUUUGGACGGCCACGUGCCGUUCUAGUGCCGCAGGGAAGCUGUUAAGUCUGCCGCCUGGGGAGUACGAUCGCAAGAUUGAAACUUAAAGGAAUUGGCGGGGGAGCAC
rnacentral:rRNA from 1 species